CCUGUUGUAAUACCUUCAGCAUAGAAGCAGUAGUGGUCUGCUCCUCCAAAGAUCUAUAGCUUGUGGAUGCGGCGGAUGUGGCACAGGGAGCAGAUGAAUUGGGAAUAAGAGGACCCCCGGCGCGCGCACAAAUUGUUUCUACCUGACGGCUGAUAGUGAGGAUGCCUCUGACCUGUCCCGAGAAGGUUCGAGCCGAAGUACGACUUGUACAACGCAUCACCAAUUCGUCCGACAGUGUAAAAUGCGUUUGUGUUAGCUGAGUGAAAAUUAGAGAUCAGCCUGGUGGUACUUUAUUAUUUUAUUCUAUAGCUUGAUCUGCCAAAUGCUAUUAAGGAAAUGAAGUUUCUUCCUCGAUCAA